CUUUACUGCAACUUGACGUUGGAACUUGGCUGUAUUUGUGUAGGAUAGGUGGGAGACUUUGAAGCAGGGCCGCCAGGUCUCGCGGAGUCGCCGUUGAAAUACCACCCUGGUGCUGACGAGUUUCUAACCGUGUCCGUAAGCCGGACAUGAGACAGCGUCUGGUGGGCAGUUUGACUGGGGCGGUCGCCUCCUAAAAGGUAACGGAGGCAUUCAAAGGUCCCCUCAGCGUGGUCGGUAAUCACGCGCAGAGUGCAAACGCAUAAGGGGGCUUAACUGCGAGACCGACAGGUCGAGCAGGUACGAAAGUAGGAGUUAGUGAUCCCGCGGUUUAGCGUGGAAUUGCCGUUGCUCAAUGGAUAAAAGGUA
rnacentral:rRNA from 1 species